AUACAUUUACAAUGAGGUAAAACUAAAUCUGGGAAAAAAAAAAUCACAAGAAAACCAACCUCCAUGGGGUAACACUAAAUCUGCUUCUUUUUACCCCCAAGAAGAUUGGUCACCAAUCAUCUCAAGUUCAAAGCAACCUCUCGAAAUCUUCAAAGAUGCCUCUUUCUAUGAAAGGCCAAGGAUGGAAAAACAACAUUGUUGUUAUAGAAGGGUGAGGAGGAGAGUGAGGAGG
rnacentral:lncRNA from 1 species